AAAUAUAUUUAAUUUCCACCGGCCUAAGAUUUUACCGACCCGAAUUCAUUCUUCUCUUGGUAAUAAUACGUAAUAGGGAUUUCCCUCAAUCCUCACUGUUGCCUCUCAAUCUCUCACUGCUCUAGUAUUCACAAGGUCCUCACUGUUGCCUCUCAUUCUUACAAACGCUGCUCAAGACAUAUCCGUGGGUUUAACAGCUCAACAGACCAAACGUUGCUGGCUUCUUGGGUUUUCCGUGACUCAACAGCGCAAUCAAGUGUCAAGAGAUGAAAUUUUAGCCAUGGACUCGUGAACAUGGGGAAGCAAGUUGUUAAUCAGAUCAGCUAUGCUGGUGCCAGAACUUCUGCUAACUCACCUUCCCUCUCUACCAGGUCUUAGCUCGAGUGCGCCUCAGCUUGUUUGACUCGGGCAAUUGUUGGAGCUUCUAAUGUAGCAUUUGGACAUUCAUGUAUUCAACGUUCACCUCUAUCUUUCUACAGUAGUUAUGUCUUUAUUAGUAUUCGGAGAAAGAUAUUAUUCAUUUAUGGUUAUUUCUCCGAUUCAUUUGACUUUUGGAUUGUAUUAGUAGUUCUUACACUAUUGACACCUGGUUUUGGGCAUGAUUAGUAUUUUGGA